AAGAACUUGUUCAGAUUUGAUUUCAACAUUGCAAUGAGUGGCGAACGGGUGAGUAACACGUGGGAAACCUACCUCUUAGCAGGGGAAUAACAUUUGGAAACAAAUGCUAAUACCGUAUAAUAAUUAAAACCGCAUUGGGUUUUAAGUUUAAAAGAUGGUCUUGCUAUCACUAAGAGAUGGUCCCGCGGUGUAUUAGUUAGUUGGUGAGGUAAUGGCUCACCAAGACAAUGAUACAUAGCCGAGUUGAGAGACUGACCGGCCACAAUGGGACUGAGACACGGCCCAUACUCCUACGGGAGGCAGCAGUAGGGAAUCUUCCACAAUGGACGAAAGUCUGAUGGAGCAACGCCGCGUGUGUGAUGAAGGGUUUCGGCUCGUAAAACACUGUUGUAAGAGAAGAAUGACAUUGAGAGUAACUGUUCAAUGUGUGACGGUAUCUUACCAGAAAGGAACGGCUAAAUACGUG
rnacentral:rRNA from 1 species